UACGUAGGGUGCGAGCGUUAAUCGGAAUUACUGGGCGUAAAGCGUGUGUAGGCGGUUCGCUGUGUCCGAUGUGAAAGCCCCGGGCUUAACCUGGGAAUGGCAUUGGAAACUGGCGGGCUUGAGUGCGGCAGAGGGGGGUGGAAUUCCGCGUGUAGCAGUGAAAUGCGUAGAUAUGCGGAGGAACACCGAUGGCGAAGGCAAUCCCCUGGGCCUGCACUGACGCUCAUGCACGAAAGCGUGGGGAGCAAACAGG
rnacentral:rRNA from 1 species